CGGGGUAUGGCUUAGUUGGUAAAGCGCCGGGCUGGGGGUCCGGAGAUCGCCAGUUCGAGUCUGGCUACCCCGACCA
rnacentral:tRNA from 1 species